CUUCUAUGGGCUUACGUGUAGUUUCAUAUAUGGUUGCCCAUGGAUAAAACUAAUCAUAUCUAUACAUGUGCAUAAUGUUUCACAAGCCCUUUCAUAGAAAACCUAGUAACAGACGUGCAGUGGAGAUGUGCAUUUUGUUUUGUUCUGAUUCCAAUUUUGUAUGAAUUCAGACUAAAUAAUCAAUUCGGAAGCAUCCCAAAUUCUUUAGAAGAUUAAACAAAC